rnacentral:rRNA from 1 species
GAUGAACGCUGGCGGCGUGCUUAACACAUGCAAGUCGAACGAUGAAAGCGGGAGCUUGCUCCUGCUGGAUUAGUGGCGAACGGGUGAGUAACACGUGAGCAAUCUGCCCCGAACUCUGGGAUAAGCGUUGGAAACGACGUCUAAUACCGGAUACGACGCGCGAAGGCAUCUUCUGCGCGUGGAAAGAAUUUCGGUUCGGGAUGAGCUCGCGGCCUAUCAGCUAGUUGGUGAGGUAACGGCUCACCAAGGCGACGACGGGUAGCCGGACGGAGAGGGUGACCGGCCACACUGGGACUGAGACACGGCCCAGACUCCUACGGGAGGCAGCAGUGGGGAAUAUUGCACAAUGGGCGCAAGCCCGAUGCAGCAACGCCGCGUGAGGGACGACGGCCUUCGGGUUGUAGACCUCUUUUAGCAGGGAAGAAGCGAAAGUGACGGUACCUGCAGAAAAAGCACCGGCUAACUUCGUGCCAGCCGCCGCCGUAAAAC